CUUGCAAGCAGGAUUUAUUUUGAUCGCUGGAGUCACUAGGACAUUUGAGGAAUGGAAUGUUGGGUUGAGUGUGGGUUAAGGAGACCAGAAUAGAACCUGGUACUUCAGAGCCGGAUGGGGCUUUGAGGAUUGAGAGGUCCAGUGUGUUUGGCCUUUGGUGGUUUCUCAUGACCAUAGGACUUCUUUGCAGAUGAGAAAAUGGAGCUCCACAGAGGUUACGUAACUUGCCCCAGGUCAGGCAUCAUGUAACAAGACUGUGUGUUAUUUGAACUUACGCAGUGUGAUUCCACAUCCCACGGUCCUCUCCGGUAUACCACAGCUAGAGAUUAGUGCUAAAAUCAUCAGCCGGAAGAGGCAUAUUGGAGUUACGAGGGUUCCCCUGACCAGCACCUCCUCCGCUCCAUAGAACGUCAACGCCUUCUUGACGGAGCUUCCGUUGAUAAAAUGGCCGUUCUGUACGUUCACUUCCGGAAGAAUAAAAUGAAUUAAGUUCUUAUUAAAUAUGGGCUAUUAUUUUUGUCAAAGAGUUUUCAGGUCAAGUGGAGCUGUUUGAUAACACUAUUGAUCCUUUGGUUCUCGUUGCUCAUUUGGUCAGUGGGUGAUCCCUGGUGGCUGGGAAGUUAUCAAAAGCACAGAAACGGUCAUUAUACUUCCCAGGUUUGAAACCUAGCUCC